AGGAGCUUGCUCCUUGGGUGGCGAGUGGCGGACGGGUGAGGAAUACAUCGGAAUCUACUUUUUCGUGGGGGAUAACGUAGGGAAACUUACGCUAAUACCGCAUACGACCUACGGGUGAAAGCAGGGGACCUUCGGGCCUUGCGCGAUUGAAUGAGCCGAUGUCGGAUUAGCUAGUUGGCGGGGUAAAGGCCCACCAAGGCGACGAUCCGUAGCUGGUCUGAGAGGAUGAUCAGCCACACUGGAACUGAGACACGGUCCAGACUCCUACGGGAGGCAGCAGUGGGGAAUAUUGGACAAUGGGCGCAAGCCUGAUCCAGCCAUACCGCGUGGGUGAAGAAGGCCUUCGGGUUGUAAAGCCCUUUUGUUGGGAAAGAAAUCCAGCCGGCUAAUACCUGGUUGGGAUGACGGUACCCAAAGAAUAAGCACCGGCUAACUUCGUGCCAGCAGCCGCGGUAAUACGAAGGGUGCAAGCGUUACUCGGAAUUACUGGGCGUAAAGCGUGCGUAGGUGGUUGUUUAAGUCUGUUGUGAAAGCCCUGGGCUCAACCUGGGAACUGCAGUGGAAACUGGACAACUAGAGUGUGGUAGAGGGUAGCGGAAUUCCCGGUGUAGCAGUGAAAUGCGUAGAGAUCGGGAGGAACAUCCAUGGCGAAGGCAGCUACCUGGACCAACACUGACACUGAGGCACGAA
rnacentral:rRNA from 1 species